GGCUCUGUAGUGUAGUGGUUAUCACAGCGGAUUCUGAUAUCCAUGGAUCAAUGUCAUUCCGCUAACCGAGGUUCGAGUCCUCGCUGGGCCU